CCAAUAGCGUAUAUUAAAGUUGUUGCAGUUAAAAAGCUCGUAGUUGAAUUUCGGGAUUGGCGCAUCGGUCGUGCCUCACGGGGUAUGAACUGGUGCAGUCAAUUUCUCACCUUCUGGAGAACCGCGAUGUCCUUAAUUGGAUGCCGCGGGGAACCAGGACCUUUACUUUGAAAAAAUUAGAGUGUUUAAAGCAGGCAUUUUUGCUUGAAUACAUUAGCAUGGAAUAAUAAAAUAGGACGGCAUGGUUCUAUUUUGUUGGUUUCUAGGACCACCGUAAUGAUUAAUAGGGAUAGUUGGGGGCAUUGGUAUUCAAUUGUCAGAGGUGAAAUUCUUGGAUUUAUUGAAGACUAACUACUGCGAAAGCAUUUGCCAAGGAUGUUUUCAUUAAUCAAGAACGAAAGUUAGGGGAUCGAAGACGAUCAGAUACCGUCGUAGUCUUAACCAUAAACUAUGCCGACUAGGAAUCAGACGAUGUUAAUUUUUUAAUGACUCGUUUGGCACCUUACA
rnacentral:rRNA from 1 species